GAUAAGCCGGAGGAAUCCACCUCCCACCCGUGUUUAUUUUACCUUGUUGCUUCGGCGGGCCCGCCUUAACUGGCCGCCGGGGGGCUUACGCCCCCGGGCCCGCGCCCGCCGAAGACACCCUCGAACUCUGUCUGAAGAUUGAAGUCUGAGUGAAAAUAUAAAUUAUUUAAAACUUUCAACAACGGAUCUCUUGGUUCCGGCAUCGAUGAAGAACGCAGCGAAAUGCGAUACGUAAUGUGAAUUGCAAAUUCAGUGAAUCAUCGAGUCUUUGAACGCACAUUGCGCCCCCUGGUAUUCCGGGGGGCAUGCCUGUCCGAGCGUCAUUGCUGCCCUCAAGCCCGGCUUGUGUGUUGGGCCCCGUCCCCCGAUCUCCGGGGGACGGGCCCGAAAGGCAGCGGCGGCACCGCGUCCGGUCCUCGAGCGUAUGGGGCUUUGUCACCCGCUCUGUAGGCCCGGCCGGCGCUUGCCGAUCAACCCAAAUUUUUAUCCAGGUUGACCUCGGAUCAGGUAGGGAUACCCGCUGAACUUAAGCAUAUCAAUAAAGCGGAGGAA
rnacentral:rRNA from 1 species